GAAGAAGAAGAUCAGGCAAGAGUACGAGAAGAAGGAGAAGCAAGUUGAAAUUCGGAAGAAGAUCGAGUACUCCAUGCAGCUCAAUGCUUCUCGGAUCAAAGUACUACAAGCUCAGGAUGAUGUAGUAAACAAUAUGAAAGAGGCAGCAUCAAAGGAGCUUCUGAAUGUAAGCCAAAAUGAACAAGUCUACAGAAAUAUUUUGAAGGAUCUCAUUGUUCAGAGCUUGCUCCGGCUGAAAGAGCCAGCUGUUUUAUUGCGAUGUCGCAAAAGUGACGUCCAUUUGGUGGAGUCUGUGCUGGGUUCAGCAGCUGUUGAAUAUGCAGAGAAAGCACAAGUUCAUGAGCCAGAGAUCAUUGUUGACCAUGUCCAUCUUCCACCUGGUCCAAGUCAUCACCAUCAUCACGGUCCUUUCUGCUCUGGAGGUGUGGUAUUGGCAUCUCGAGAUGGGAAGAUUGUCUGUGAGAACACCCUUGAUGCUAGAUUGGAUGUUGUGUUCCGUAAAAAACUUCCAGAGAUCCGAAAAAGCCUUUUCAGUCAAGUUGCUGCAUGAUGGACUGGAUUCGUCUCUAUCAUGGUGCUUCCUGUGAAAUAAUUUAUGAGUCCAAAUUUGGGCUUUGCUGCGAAUUUGAUGUCCCAAAUGUCACGUAUCAAUAAGUAUUACAUUCUUUGAUUUUCUUUAUCUGAUAGUUACAAUGUUGUUGGUUUGAGCUGUACGGGGAGGUAGGUGCCCCUAUCGUCUCGAUAGUAUCUCCAGUAUCAAUAAUAUUCCAGCUUGAUAAAUUGGUUUCCUUCAAGUUGGGAUGACCUUUUUAGUUAAGUGUAUUUUUGUGUGCACAUCAUACAAGACUAUCCUCUUUAUAUAAUGUAAUGUGACAUUCUGUUCUGAAGGCAGUUGUUUCAAGUAAGUUAUUU
rnacentral:misc_RNA from 1 species